AGAGUUUGAUCAUGGCUCAGGACGAACGCUGGCGGCGUGCCUAACACAUGCAAGUCGAACGGAGUGAUUGUUUUCGGAUGAUCACUUAGUGGCGAACGGGUGAGUAACGCGUGAACAACCUGCCUUUCUGAGGGGGAUAACACCUGGAAACAAGUGCUAAUACCGCAUAAGACCACAGAGCCGCAUGGCCCAGGGGUCAAAGGAGCAAUCCGCAGGGAGAGGGGUUCGCGUCCCAUUAGCUAGUUGGCGGGGCAACGGCCCACCAAGGCGACGAUGGGUAGCCGAGCUGAGAGGCUGAUCGGCCACACUGGAACUGAGACACGGUCCAGACUCCUACGGGAGGCAGCAGUGGGGAAUAUUGCACAAUGGGGGAAACCCUGAUGCAGCAACGCCGCGUGGAGGAAGAAGGUUUUCGGAUUGUAAACUCCUGUCUUUUGGGACGAUAAUGACGGUACCAAAAGAGGAAGCCACGGCUAACUACGUGCCAGCAGCCGCGGUAAUACGUAGGUGGCGAGCGUUGUCCGGAAUUACUGGGCGUAAAGGGCGCGUAGGCGGCCUGUUAAGUCAGAUGUGAAAACCCCAGGCUCAACCUGGGGACUGCAUAUGAAACUGAUGGGCUAGAGUGUCGGAGAGGGAAGCGGAAU
rnacentral:rRNA from 1 species